rnacentral:tRNA from 1 species
UUAUUGUUAUUUUGGCAGAUUAGUGCAUUAAAUUUAGAAUUUAAUUAUGUUUAAACACAAAUAAUAC